UAAGCGGAGGAAAAGAAACCAACAGGGAUUACCUCAGUAACGGCGAGUGAAGCGGUAACAGCUCAAAUUUGAAAUCUGGCUCUUUCAGGGUCCGAGUUGUAAUUUGUAGAAGAUGUUUUGGGUGUGGCUCCGGUCUAAGUUCCUUGGAACAGGACGUCAUAGAGGGUGAGAAUCCCGUAUGUGACUGGUCGCCUUCGCCCGUGUAAAGCUCUUUCGACGAGUCGAGUUGUUUGGGAAUGCAGCUCAAAAUGGGUGGUAAAUUUCAUCUAAAGCUAAAUAUUGGCCAGAGACCGAUAGCGCACAAGUAGAGUGAUCGAAAGAUGAAAAGCACUUUGGAAAGAGAGUUAAACAGUACGUGAAAUUGUUGAAAGGGAAGCGCUUGCAACCAGACUUGCACGCAGUCAAUCAACCGGUGUUCUCACUGGGGCACUUUUCUGCGUUCAGGCCAGCAUCGGUUUCGGUGGUGGGAUAAAGGCCUUGGGAAUGUAGCUUCUUUCGGGGAGUGUUAUAGCCCUCGGUGCAAUGCCGCCUACCGGGACCGAGGACCGCGCUUCGGCUAGGAUGCUGGCGUAAUGGUUGUAAGCGACCCGUCUUGA
rnacentral:rRNA from 2 species